rnacentral:rRNA from 1 species
UGGGGAAUCUUCCGCAAUGGGCGCAAGCCUGACGGAGCAACGCCGCGUGAGUGAAGAAGGUUUUCGGAUCGUAAAGCUCUGUUGAGAGGGGCGAGAGGCAAGGCUAGGAAAUGAGCUUUGUAGGACGGUACCUUUCGAGGAAGCCACGGCUAACUACGUGCCAGCAGCCGCGGUAAUACGUAGGUGGCGAGCGUUGUCCGGAAUUAUUGGGCGUAAAGGGAGCGCAGGCGGCGUCGUAAGUCGGUCUUAAAAAGUGCGGGGCUUAACCCCGUGAGGGGACCGAAACUGCGAUGCUAGAGUAUCGGAGAGGAAAGCGGAAUUCCUAGUGUAGCGGUGAAAUGCGUAGAUAUUAGGAGGAACACCAGUGGCGAAAGCGGCUUUCUGGACGACAACUGACGCUGAGGCGCGAAAGCCAGGGG